rnacentral:lncRNA from 1 species
CCCUUUACAGUUUAAUCUAUACAAUUUCACUAGCCUUUCGUGUAGGAGCAGCUGUGAGGAAGGGACCAAAUGACAAUAGAAGGAGAAAAUUUGGAAGGGUUGAACAAGGAAACAAUAUAAAGUCAAAAAGGGCAGACAAAAAAAUUGAUUUUAGUUCUUGUCUUAUACUACUAAAAAUUAUGCCAUUGAUAUGUUCAUAGUAAAAAGUUUCAAGGAAAUGGAACCCCCUG